GAUGAAUCAAAGAAGGUAAUAAUCCUGUAGUCGAAAAUGUUGUCUCUCUUGAGUGGAUCCUGAGUACGACGGAGCACGUGAAAUUCCGUCGGAAUCUGGGAGGACCAUCUCCUAAGGCUAAAUACUCUCUAGUGACCGAUAGUGAACCAGUACCGUGAGGGAAAGGUGAAAAGCACCCCGGAAGGGGAGUGAAACAGAACCUGAAACCGUGUGCUUACAAGUAGUCAGAGCCCGUUAAUGGGUGAUGGCGUGCCUUUUGUAGAAUGAACCGGCGAGUUACGAUUUGAUGCAAGGUUAAGCAGUAAAUGUGGAGCCGUAGCGAAAGCGAGUCUGAAUAGGGCGUUUAGUAUUUGGUCGUAGACCCGAAACCAGGUGAUCUACCCUUGGUCAGGUUGAAGUUCAGGUAACACUGAAUGGAGGACCGAACCGACUUACGUUGAAAAGUGAGCGGAUGAACUGAGGGUAGCGGAGAAAUUCCAAUCGAACCUGGAGAUAGCUGGUUCUCUCCGAAAUAGCUUUAGGGCUAGCCUCAAGUGAUGAUUAUUGGAGGUAGAGCACUGUUUGGACGAGGGGCCCCUCUCGGGUUACCGAAUUCAGACAAACUCCGAAUGCCAAUUAAUUUAACUUGGGAGUCAGAACAUGGGUGAUAAGGUCCGUGUUCGAAAGGGAAACAGCCCAGACCACCAGCUAAGGUCCCAAAAUAUAUGUUAAGUGGAAAAGGAUGUGGCGUUACCCAGACAACUAGGAUGUUGGCUUAGAAGCAGCCAUCAUUUAAAGAGUGCGUAAUAGCUCACUAGUCGAGUGACACUGCGCCGAAAAUGUACCGGGGCUAAACAUAUUACCGAAGCUGUGGAUUGUCCUUUGGACAAUGGUAGGAGAGCGUUCUAAGGGCGUUGAAGCAUGAUCGUAAGGACAUGUGGAGCGCUUAGAAGUGAGAAUGCCGGUGUGAGUAGCGAAAGACGGGUGAGAAUCCCGUCCACCGAUUGACUAAGGUUUCCAGAGGAAGGCUCGUCCGCUCUGGGUUAGUCGGGUCCUAAGCUGAGGCCGACAGGCGUAGGCGAUGGAUAACAGGUUGAUAUUCCUGUACCACCUAUAAUCGUUUUAAUCGAUGGGGGGACGCAGUAGGAUAGGCGAAGCGUGCGAUUGGAUUGCACGUCUAAGCAGUAAGGCUGAGUAUUAGGCAAAUCCGGUACUCAUUAAGGCUGAGCUGUGAUGGGGAGAAGACAUUGUGUCUUCGAGUCGUUGAUUUCACACUGCCGAGAAAAGCCUCUAGAUAGAAAAUAGGUGCCCGUACCGCAAACCGACACAGGUAGUCAAGAUGAGAAUUCUAAGGUGAGCGAGCGAACUCUCGUUAAGGAACUCGGCAAAAUGACCCCGUAACUUCGGGAGAAGGGGU
rnacentral:rRNA from 2 species